GCAGCUCAGUGGGAAAAGUAUCUGCCUUGCAUGCAGAAGGUUGAAGGUUCAAUCCCUAGCAUCUCCA